rnacentral:rRNA from 1 species
AUUGAACGCUGGCGGCAGGCCUAACACAUGCAAGUCGAGCGGAUGAAGGGAGCUUGCUCCUGGAUUCAGCGGCGGACGGGUGAGUAAUGCCUAGGAAUCUGCCUGGUAGUGGGGGAUUACGUCCGGAAACGGGCGCUAAUACCGCAUACGUCCUGAGGGAGAAAGUGGGGGAUCUUCGGACCUCACGCUAUCUGAUGAGCCUAGGUCGGAUUAGCUAGUUGGUGGGGUAAAGGCCUACCAAGGCGACGAUCCGUAACUGGUCUGAGAGGAUGAUCAGUCACACUGGAACUGAGACACGGUCCAGACUCCUACGGGAGGCAGCAGUGGGGAAUAUUGGACAAUGGGCGAAAGCCUGAUCCAGCCAUGCCGCGUGUGUGAAGAAGGUCUUCGGAUUGUAAAGCACUUUAAGUUGGGAGGAAGGGCAGUAAGUUAAUACCUUGCUGUUUUGACGUUACCAACAGAAUAAGCACCGGCUAACUUCGUG